rnacentral:rRNA from 1 species
UUCGAGUGCGGUCUCGCGGCCACCUCCCACCCUUGUCUCUAUACACCUGUUGCUUUGGCGGGCCCACCGGGGCCACCUGGUCGCCGGGGGACGCACGUCCCCGGGCCCGCGCCCGCCGAAGCGCCCUGUGAACCCUGAUGAAGAUGGGCUGUCUGAGUACUAUGAAAAUUGUCAAAACUUUCAACAAUGGAUCUCUUGGUUCCGGCAUCGAUGAAGAACGCAGCGAAAUGCGAUAAGUAAUGUGAAUUGCAGAAUUCCGUGAAUCAUCGAAUCUUUGAACGCACAUUGCGCCCCCUGGCAUUCCGGGGGGCAUGCCUGUCCGAGCGUCAUUUCUGCCCUCAAGCACGGCUUGUGUGUUGGGUGUGGUCCCCCCGGGGACCUGCCCGAAAGGCAGCGGCGACGUCCGUCUGGUCCUCGAGCGUAUGGGGCUCUGUCACUCGCUCGGGAAGGACCUGCGGGGGUUGGUCACCACCAUGUUUUUACCACGGUUGACCUCGGAUCAGGUAGGAGUUACCCGCUGAACUUAAGCAUAUCAAUAAGGCCGGAGGAAAGAAA